UGGAGUUUGUUACUUCUACGUUUGAAAAGUUUUGUUACUUGUGGAGUUUACUUCACUUUACAUUUGGGAAUUGUUACUUUUCUGUAGUUUAUUACUUUUAGGAUAAUUUUAUGAUAAUUUUGUCAAGUUACUUUUGUUAUAUUAUAGUGGUCACUGUUUGUGGUAAUGUUAGUAAAUGGAUGUUUUUUAAAUAAACGCUACUUAACAUUUGUGGUUAUGAAGGACAGACCUAACCAAACAAACCUACCUAACCUAACUUCCCCGGUAUAUUAAACAGAAAAAACUUACUAUACGGUGAUAUUUGAGACAUUUUCUGGACGUGAGAUGAUACAGCAGCAUCGGCACUAUGGCGGUUUACUGCUGCAAUUGGUUGUUACUGUAGUGUUAAGACAACUACCAUAUUGCUGCCUCGCUGAUCGUGGUUAAUUAAGUUCCUCAUGUCAUUCGUCGAGGACGGUGACGUGAACAUGUAAGAUAUGGGCCACACGACGAAGGUUUGUUUUGGUUAACGGGUCUCUUGCUGCGCCACAUUGGAAGCUCUCUGCUAUAACAUAAGAUAUUGUGAUGUCACAUCUCAAGACCAAGUGUAACUAAGUAGAAGUUCACAAUGUCAUGCAGAGAUAAAAAGUUCUCCUGUGAGGAAUGUGGCAAACAGUUUGGUUUCAAGUCUACUCUUCAGAAACAUUUACUUGUACACAAUGGUGUGAAGGAGUUUGAAUGUGAGGAAUGUGGUAAAUGUUUCUCCCAGAAAAGUACUCUCGAGACACACAUUCUUGUACACAAUGGUGUGAAGAAGU